rnacentral:rRNA from 1 species
UACGUAGGGUGCAAGCGUUGUCCGGAAUUAUUGGGCGUAAAGAGCUCGUAGGCGGUCUGUCGCGUCUGCUGUGAAAACUCGGGGCUUAACCCCGGGCCUGCAGUGGGUACGGGCAGACUAGAGUGCGGUAGGGGAGACUGGAAUUCCUGGUGUAGCGGUGAAAUGCGCAGAUAUCAGGAGGAACACCGAUGGCGAAGGCAGUUCUCUGGGGCCGUAACUGACGCUGAGGAGCGAAAGCGUGGGGAGCGAACAGG